CAUCAAUCUGGAGAGGAAGAGGGUUCGGGAGCUCUAGCCUGCAACUCCGCCAGGUCAUGAAAUUUUCUCUAUUGAGGUCGGAGCGUUGCCAUGGUUACUAUGGCAACUCUCUGACCAGAUCUCGUGAUAAUGAACUCUAGCCCCAAGAGCUGCAGGGUAGAGUUCACUCACCACUGGCCCGCCUCCCUGAGCAAAGGUAAGAAGGGAGGGGGAAGGGGGGGGAAAUCAACAGGUUUUUUAAUUAAAAAAUAAAUAAA